GCUGUGCUUGUGGCUGGUGUGGUGCCUGGGCAUGAGAGCCACAUGUGGAGGCCAUGUAGUGCUGGUACCAUUGAAAAUACUCUCCACUACAUAUGGGCUGAACUCAGAGCUGUCUGCCUUUGAUCAGUUGCACUAGGGCUUGGUUGUGUGAAGUCUCUCCCCUGCCCUUGAGCUCUAACUCGUGGCCACCGUAUGAGUGAAGUGGUAGUGUUCAGCCUGAGUAACCUCCCUCCCCAAACCUGAUUUGCUCUUGUGUUGUGUGCCAUCUACUCGGCUUGGUGUUCAUCACAGCCGAUUCCCCCCCCCCCCCCCCCCCCCCCCCCCCGCCGCCCGCCGUCGUGGCUAGAACGCUUCAAAGCGUGCUUGUGACAUCGCGGCGCGGCGCUGUGAACCACCUCUCUAUUGACCGUCAACUGGUGCUUUCCCCGGCUGUCUUCGCGCGAGCACCGAAGUGUUGAACACCUAGAAGAAGUGGUGUCUGAAGAAGGAGUUCACUUCAGUGCCUGCUGAUCCAGUGGUGGAGUUUCAUCUAACUGCUUACCACAAUAGAAGGAUUUUAGAUCUUCUCCUGCAAUAAG